GAACUAUUAAUAUUAUAUCGUGAUAUAGGUUUUACAUCAGAAACCAAAGAAGACACUGAAGGAGAUAACCAAAGAUUUAUGCCCAGUUCUUAGCAUACAACAGUUAUACAGAAUCAGUACUAUGUACUGGGAUGACAAGUAUGACACGCAGAGUGUUACAUCAGAGAUCAUUUCAAGUAUGAGACUUGUGAUGGCCGAGG